CCUACGGGAGGCAGCAGUGGGGAAUAUUGGACAAUGGGGGGAACCCUGAUCCAGCGACGCCGCGUGAGUGAAGAAGUAUCUCGGUAUGUAAAGCUCUAUCAGCAGGGAAGAAAGAAAUGACGGUACCUGACUAAGAAGCCCCGGCUAACUACGUGCCAGCAGCCGCGGUAAUACGUAGGGGGCAAGCGUUAUCCGGAUUUACUGGGUGUAAAGGAAGCGUAGACGGCUGAGCAAGUCUGAAGUGAAAGGCGGGGGCCCAACCCCCGGACUGCUUUGGAAACUGUAUAGCUAGAGUGCAGGAGAGGUAAGUGGAAUUCCUAGUGUAGCGGUGAAAUGCGUAGAGAUUAGGAGGAACACCAGUGGCGAAGGCGGCUUACUGGACUGUAACUGACGUUGAGGCUCGAAAGCGUGGGGAGCAAACAGGAUUAGAUACCCUAGUAGUC
rnacentral:rRNA from 1 species